rnacentral:rRNA from 1 species
CGGGUCUAGCGGCGGACGGGUGAGUAACGCGUGGGAAUAUGCCCUUCUCUGCGGAAUAGCCUCGGGAAACUGAGAGUAAUACCGCAUACGCCCUUCGGGGGAAAGAUUUAUCGGAGAAGGAUUAGCCCGCGUCUGAUUAGAUAGUUGGUGGGGUAAUGGCCUACCAAGUCUACGAUCAGUAGCUGGUUUGAGAGGAUGAUCAGCCACACUGGGACUGAGACACGGCCCAGACUCCUACGGGAGGCAGCAGUGGGGAAUCUUAGACAAUGGGCGCAAGCCUGAUCUAGCCAUGCCGCGUGAGUGAUGAAGGCCUUAGGGUCGUAAAGCUCUUUCGCUGGGGAAGAUAAUGACUGUACCCAGUAAAGAAACCCCGGCUAACUCCGUGCCAGCAGCCGCGGUAAUACGGAGGGGGUUAGCGUUGUUCGGAAUUACUGGGCGUAAAGCGCACGUAGGCGGAUUAGUCAGUCGGAGGUGAAAUCCCAGGGCUCAACCCUGGAACUGCCUUUGAUACUGCUAGUCUUGAGUUCGAGAGAGGUGAGUGGAAUUCCGAGUGUAGAGGUGAAAUUCGUAGAUAUUCGGAGGAACACCAGUGGCGAAGGCGGCUCACUGGCUCGAUACUGACGCUGAGGUGCGAAAGCGUGGGGAGCAA